AACCCAUGUUGAGGACAUUUCAGCGGGAGUUUCUUGAAACUAUCCCUAUGUCUCAAAAGGAGACUCCAAUUCCACAUGCAUAAAGGAGGAAAUUUUAUUCCUGAGCUU